AUAACUAAAACAAAAAGGAACGUUCUUCUGGUUCAUCCCCAAAUCCAAAUCCCUAGUCUGUUCGCUCGAGGAUUCAGGAGGAAAGGGACCAUCCAUCUCUCCACCCACCUCUGAACCUAUCACGGAGGAGAUUACGUCGACAUCAAGGUCAACGACGGCCGUUCACAAAGCCAUUGUCGUCGAGAUGAACAAACAGAACUUAUAUGCACCUGGAUUUAAGGCAUAUGUGACAAGUGGAAGUGAAAACCAUCUUGUUUUGUGGCAUCUUCGUCCUCUUGGCUUAACGGGCAACAAGGUUGAGAAGCUUUGUGCCAAUUACAGUACAAUGAUGGUCAUAUGACUAGUCAACAGAAAGUGAAAUUCAAUCAACAACAAAGGUCGCUGCGUUUUUUUAUCAGUUUCCUGAUUUGUUCACCGCCGUUGAUACCUAACAACUUGUUGUCUUAGUUUCAUAGAAAAAGAGUUGCUCAAGAAUGUUUCAAGAUGUAAACUGUUUCCAAUAUAUGCAACUCGUAGAGGAAAUUUGUAGAAUGUAAAUUUGUUGUUUCUAAUAACAUUUGUAAUCUUCAAAUUAAAUUAUCUAUUAACUUAAUUUCGUCA